UUUGUUGAUUGGUUAUAGCUGUUUUAGACUCAUUAGGAAUUAACUUUAGUUAGUUUUUAACAUGGGUUAAGGGGUUUGGGUUAAGUUAAUUGAAGUAUGUAAUUUCUAGACUGUUUAAAAGGGUAAUUUGGGGAUGAAAAAGGGUAGUAUCUUAAGAUUUGGUAAUUGCAAUAUAGGUUAAAGGGUAGCUCAGGAAUUGUACAGCUCAAAAAGCAUCCUAGAAGCUCCUAGAAUAGGGCUUUACUGCACAUUUCUAAAAAACUUAGGGAAUAACUUGAGGAAUAUGUUAGAAAUUGUGGUCUAAAGCUGAAAAUAAUUAGGGAGUAAAAAAGAAAAUCAAAAUCUGACCCUUUACCCUCAUUUUUGUCUAUAUAAAGGCAUCCAAUGCCCUGUGAAAGAGGUCUUCAAUUUUUAGCUAAAAAAUUCCACAAUAUCUGCUUGUCCUUUCAUUUUUAGCUUUCAAAAUUAGUUUCAGCAUUCAAAUACACCAAAAAAUACAAAACAAUGCGUAUAAAAAUAGAAAACAAAGAAAUAUUCACUGUUCAUUGGUUGUAAGCAGCUUUUAAUUGUUCCUUGGGUGUUCUUUCUUAUAGCUUGAUUUGAGAUUUUGGUUGAGUUGGUUUGGGGUUUAUUCCUGCUGGGUCAUGGUCUUUUCUGUUGGAUUUCUGAGUUUUCCGGGUUGAUAGAUUGCAUUCCUGGGUUUCUUGUUGCUGCUGGUUCCCGGAGCAUUUUGCUGCAUUAAGCUGCUACUGACUACGUUCUCCUGUUUUGUAAUUCACUCUGCCAGGUACACACACUCGAGACUGUUUCAAUGUAGCUCUCCUGAUACAAAUGAAAUGAAGUUGAAGUUUAUGCUAUAGACCUCCUGUUUGGUGUCUCUGCUACGUUUGAAUACCUUUGUGUGUGAUUUGGUUGAUUAUUUGAUGUAAUUAAAGGUAGACUGGAAAUAAGAUUGCAACUUUUGUGUGUGAUUUGGUUGAUUAUUUGACGUAGUUAAAGGUAGAGUGGAAAUAAGACUGCAAUAGAUGCUGACUGUAGUCUACAACUGAAAAUUGUUAUGAUCUAAUAAGUUUGUUUUCCAUUAAUUGUUAUGGAACGAAAUAUCAGGUUGAUAUAGUAAUUCACAUUGGUUAUAGUAUAGUCCACUUCCUAUUAGCUGUAUAUUGGUCCUGUUUAAAAUGACAUAGGGACAUGAUGAAGCUUUGAGCAUUUGUUUUGAUUCUAGCUCAGUGAUUGAAUAUGAUACAUAGAUGGAUAUCGCAUUUUAUUGAAAUAAGACUUGCUUUUGUAGUGGAACAAAUACAAAGGUCUUUAUCACAUUUUUUUCUAACUGACUGAAAAGAGAGUUUUCCGGGUUGAUAGAUUGCAUUCGUGGGUUUCUUGUUGCUGCUGGUUCACUGAGCAUUUUGCUGCUGCUGACUACGUUUCUCCUGUUUUGUAAUUCACUCUGCCGGGUACACACACUCGAGACUGUUUCAAUGUAGCUCUCCUGAUACAAAUGAAAUGAAGUUGAAGUUUAUGCUAUAGACCUCCUGUUUGGUGUCUCUGCUACGUUUGAAUACCUUUGUGUGUGAUUUGGUUGAUUAUUUGAUGUAAUUAAAGGUAGACUGGAAAUAAGAUUGCAAUAGAUGCUGACUGCAGUCUAUAGACUGAAUUUUUUUAUGAUUUAUAAGUUUGUUUUCCAUCAAUUGUUGUGGAAUUAAAUAUUAGGUUGAUAUAGUAAUUCACAUUGGUUAUAGU
rnacentral:lncRNA from 1 species